CCAUAAAUUAUGGCAUGUAAGAAUUUAGAGUUUUGGGAGAAGAAACAAUGUUUGGCGCAACACAAUCCCAUGCGACGUCCCAUAACUUGCCAUAAAGAUUAAAUUCUUUAUAUAUAAAAGUUAUUGGGUGUGGAAGAGCCUUUAUACAGAAGAACUCCUCCACUUCUGCACCAACAUAUCUCUAGAAGCCAUCAGAAGGUGCGUGGAGU
rnacentral:lncRNA from 1 species